rnacentral:lncRNA from 1 species
GCUAGAUGAAAAGAAUAAAAUAGUCCAGGCAAAAAUGGGCAUCCCGGCGAACCAAGAAAAAAAAAGAGAAAAGGUUCGGGAAAAAAUUAGGGAUAAAAAGAAAAAAAAAUUGUACACCCGGCAAGUCAAAAACCAGAAAAGGCGACUUGGGCAAAAAAAGGGUAUCCCGGUGGACUGAAGACCCGAAAGGGCGGUCCAGGCAAAAGAGGGAUUGAAACGAAC